UGGGGAAUAUUGCACAAUGGGCGCAAGCCUGAUGCAGCCAUGCCGCGUGUGUGAAGAAGGCCUUCGGGUUGUAAAGCACUUUCAGCGAGGAGGAAGGCGUUAAGGUUAAUAACCUUAGCGAUUGACGUUACUCGCAGAAGAAGCACCGGCUAACUCCGUGCCAGCAGCCGCGGUAAUACGGAGGGUGCAAGCGUUAAUCGGAAUUACUGGGCGUAAAGCGCACGCAGGCGGUUUGUUAAGUCAGAUGUGAAAUCCCCGAGCUUAACUUGGGAACUGCAUUUGAAACUGGCAAGCUAGAGUCUUGUAGAGGGGGGUAGAAUUCCAGGUGUAGCGGUGAAAUGCGUAGAGAUCUGGAGGAAUACCGGUGGCGAAGGCGGCCCCCCUGGACAAAGACUGACGCUCAGG
rnacentral:rRNA from 1 species